rnacentral:rRNA from 1 species
AGAAGGAACUCGGCAAACUGGUACCGUAACUUCGGGAUAAGGUACGCCCUGGUAGCUUGACCGGCCUGCGCCGGAAGGGUGAAGGGGUUGCAAUAAACUGGUGGCUGCGACUGUUUAAUAAAAACACAGCACUCUGCAAACACGAAAGUGGACGUAUAGGGUGUGACGCCUGCCCGGUGCCGGAAGAUUAAAUGAUGGGGUGCAAGCUCUUGAUUGAAGUCCCGGUAAACGGCGGCCGUAACAAUAACGGUCCUAAGGUAGCGAAAUUCCUUGUCGGGUAAGUUCCGACCUGCACGAAUGG